rnacentral:rRNA from 1 species
AACGCGUAGGAAUCUGCCUGACAGUGGGGGAUAACUUAGGGAAACUUAAGCUAAUNCCGCAUACGCCCUACGGGGGAAAGCGGGGGACUCUUGUAGCCUCGCGCUGACAGAUGAGCCUGCGUCCGAUUAGCUAGUUGGCGGGGUAAUAGCCCACCAAGGCGACGAUCGGUANCUGGUCUGAGAGGACGAUCAACCACACUGGGACUGAGACACGGCCCAGACUCCUACGGGAGGCAGCAGUGGGGAAUAUUGGACAAUGGGCGCAAGCCUGAUCCAGCAAUGCCGCGUGUGUGAAGAAGGCCUGCGGGUUGUAAAGCACUUUCGGGGGGGAAGAAAAGUUAGCUGCUAAUAUCAGCUAAUCUUGACGUUACUCCAAUAAGAAGCACC